rnacentral:snoRNA from 1 species
GAGUAGCCAUGCACAGAUAUGUUGUGUUACUUGAUACAAUCUUCCAAAAUAGAGAUGGGGCAUUUCCUGCUUGCAUACCUUGAAGAUUGGCUUGCAGGCCUCAGAUCCUCCUAUAUUUAA